rnacentral:rRNA from 1 species
UGGGGAAUAUUGGACAAUGGGCGAAAGCCUGAUCCAGCCAUGCCGCGUGUGUGAAGAAGGUCUUCGGAUUGUAAAGCACUUUAAGUUGGGAGGAAGGGUUGUAGAUUAAUACUCUGCAAUUUUGACGUUACCGACAGAAUAAGCACCGGCUAACUCUGUGCCAGCAGCCGCGGUAAUACAGAGGGUGCAAGCGUUAAUCGGAAUUACUGGGCGUAAAGCGCGCGUAGGUGGUUUGUUAAGUUGGAUGUGAAAUCCCCGGGCUCAACCUGGGAACUGCAUCCAAAACUGGCAAGCUAGAGUAUGGUAGAGGGUGGUGGAAUUUCCUGUGUAGCGGUGAAAUGCGUAGAUAUAGGAAGGAACACCAGUGGCGAAGGCGACCACCUGGACUGAUACUGACACUGAGGUGCGAAAGCUAGGGUAGCGAAGAGGAUUAGAUACCCAAGUAGUCCCUGAGCGGGCUGGCAAGGCGCAU